rfam:Stegodyphus mimosarum contig102351, whole genome shotgun sequence.
GCCUUCGUGGUGUAAUGGUUAGCACACUGAGCCGGUAUUUCAGAGGUCCGUGGUUCGAUUCCCGGCGAAGGAA